rnacentral:rRNA from 1 species
UACAGAGGUCUCAAGCGUUGUUCGGAUUCAUUGGGCGUAAAGGGUGCGUAGGCGGCGCGGUAAGUCGGGUGUGAAAUCUCGGGGCUUAACUCCGAAACUGCAUUCGAUACUGCCGUGCUUGAGGACUGGAGAGGAGACUGGAAUUUACGGUGUAGCGGUGAAAUGCGUAGAUAUCGUAAGGAAGACCAGUGGCGAAGGCGGGUCUCUGGGCCGAUACUGACGCUGAGGAGCGAAUGCCAGGGGAGCAAACGGG